rfam:Vigna angularis cultivar Jingnong 6 scaffold189_15, whole genome shotgun sequence.
AAAUCAUGUGAUGAGGAAAAAAACUGCAACAAUAUGAUUGGAUUCGUUCCAUGAUUCCUUGUAUUUAAGUCUCUGAUGAUU